rnacentral:rRNA from 1 species
CCUACGGGAGGCAGCAGUGGGGAAUAUUGCACAAUGGGGGAAACCCUGAUGCAGCGACGCCGCGUGAACGAAGAAGGCCUUCGGUACGUAAACCUCUGUCAUCAGGGAAGAUAAUGACGGUACUUGACUAAGAAGCCCCGGCUAACUACGUGCCAGCAGCCGCGGUAAUACGUAGGGGGCUAGCGUUAUCCGGAUUUACUGGGCGUAAAGGGUGCGUAGGUGGUUUCUUAAGUCAGAGGUGAAAGGCUACGGCUCAACCGUAGUACGCCUUUGAAACUGGGAAACUUGAGUGCAGGAGAGGAGAGUGGAAUUCCUAGUGUAGCGGUGAAAUGCGUAGAUAUUAGGAGGAACACCAGUGGCGAAGGCGGCUUUCUGGACUGUAACUGACACUGAGGCACGAAAGCGUGGGGAGCAAACAGGAUUAGAUACCCGGGUAGUC